rnacentral:rRNA from 1 species
GAUUAAGUUAUUAAGGGCGCACGGUGGAUGCCUUGGCACUAGAAGCCGAUGAAGGACGUUACUAACGACGAUAUGCUUUGGGGAGCUGUAAGUAAGCUUUGAUCCAGAGAUUUCCGAAUGGGGAAACCCAGCAUGAGUUAUGUCAUGUUAUCGAUAUGUGAAUACAUAGCAUAUCAGAAGGCACACCCGGAGAACUGAAACAUCUUAGUACCCGGAGGAAGAGAAAGAAAAUUCGAUUCCCUUAGUAGCGGCGAGCGAAACGGGAAGAGCCCAAACCAACAAGCUUGCUUGUUGGGGUUGUAGGACACUCUAUACGGAGUUACAAAGGACGACAUUAGACGAAUCAUCUGGAAAGAUGAAUCAAAGAAGGUAAUAAUCCUGUAGUCGAAAAUGUUGUCUCUCUUGAGUGGAUCCUGAGUACGACGGAGCACGUGAAAUUCCGUCGGAAUCUGGGAGGACCAUCUCCUAAGGCUAAAUACUCUCUAGUGACCGAUAGUGAACCAGUACCGUGAGGGA